CGAAACAUGGGGAAUGCUAGUAUCCCUAAUCCACUUUUCUUUAAGGGAAACAUGUCCAGCGGAGAUUUUGGUUCAAUUUUCUCUGAUGUAUUCUCAAAAUUGCAACCG
rnacentral:sRNA from 1 species